GACGAACGCUGGCGGCGUGCCUAAUACAUGCAAGUCGAACGCAGUGGGGACGGGGGAGGAACACGUGGGUAACCUCCCAUCAGAGGGGAUAACACUUGGAAACAGGUGCUAAACCGAUACUGAUGGAUGGACCCGCGGUGCAUUAGCUAGUCGGUGGGGUAACGGCUCACCAAGGCGACGAUGCAUAGCCGGGCUGAGAGGGUGAUCAGCAACACUGGAACUGAGACACGGCCCAGACUCCUACGGGAGGCAGUAGUGGGGAAUCUUCGGCAAUGGACGAAAGUCUGACCGAGCAACGCCGCGUGAGUGAAGAAGGUUUUCGGAUCGUAAAACACUGUUGUUAGAGAAGCGGUAUCUAACCAGAAAGCCACGGCUAACUACGUGCCAGCAGCCGCGGUAAUUC
rnacentral:rRNA from 1 species